CGGGAUAACACCUGGAAACAAGAUGCUAAUACCGGAUAACAACAGAUGAUGCCUAUCAACUGUUUAAAAGAUGGUUCUGCUAUCACUCUUGGAUGGACCUGCGGUGCAUUAGCUAGUUGGUAGGGUAACGGCCUACCAAGGCGAUGAUGCAUAGCCGAGUUGAGAGACUGAUCGGCCACAUUGGGACUGAGACGCGGCCCAAACUCCUACGGGAGGCAGCAGCG
rnacentral:rRNA from 1 species